CAUGUACACAAGUUUAAUAGAAUAAAUUUGUAAAAUUGAAAACUAAAAACAUCUAUCUAUACUAAUAAAGUAGAAUUUUUUAUAUCGGGGAAAAAACGUCACCUGUCCUUUCUAAAUGCCACAAUAAAGUGGACUUUUCUUUUGUUUUAAAAGAAGUUGGGCUUUCUACCUAAAAGCUUUGUCACGACCAUCGAUAUCGUUUCGCCUCUUCCACUUCUCCACCGAUGUUGCCGAAUGAUUUCUGCGAAUCUCCGUUUCUUUAGAGUUAUAACGAUCCACUCUCAAUCAGUCAAUCCUUUCUUAACUCUUAUGUUGAUAAGCCAUGAUAUUCUUCCACCUCUCUUUGUUUCUCCUCAUAUAUAAACCUUAUCUUCCUAUAAAUGAGAGAGGAAGAGGCAGAGAUAGGACGAGGAGGAGCUGCUGAGACAGAUAUGAAGCGUAAAAAUGAAGAAGAAAAGGCCCGGGAAAGAACAGGGCGUUAUUCAUAGAGAGAAGCUGCUACAUUGAAAACGAGACAAGAGAUGACACUUCCUCUUGGAGACAAACAUGAGAAAGGAUCUCUACUCAAAGAUGAAUCGAGAGUGGGAAUCUAACAUAUCCAAAGACUUAGCAGAAACUCCAUAACUUUGCGCUUACUCCUAACAACCUUCUCAGAAGCUUCAUCUCUCGGUAGUGCACUGAACACAACAUUGGACAACCUUCAGCUUACAUUAUUGGCAGGUACGGAGACAUAUCAGUAAUCACCGCAUUGGUUCACAGGCUCUCAAGGUGAUCCAUAAAGGAACACAGAAAUGCUGUUACUGAAAUCUGUUCUUUGUCAGACAAAUCACAUUGUCAUUGCUGAAUCAUGAGCCAGUCCCUGUUUUGGUGAACCUUUAACCUCAUAGGAAGUUCCGACCCAGGAAUUUGUGUCAUCAACCUCUCUAUAUGACAACAACAAAUAUCUGAUAUUGUUUGCUGGUGCAGUCACUUCAAUAGUUAAAGUCCUUAGAGCUGGAACCUUCGAAGCAAGAGAAAACACAGCAGCGACACUCUUUAGACUUCCGUGAGCCGAUGAGAACAAGAUCAUAAUAAGUAGUGCAAUGCCUGCUUUUAGUGGCUCUUCUCUUGAACGGGACUCAAGAGCAGCUGGGGCAGCAUUGUUCAGUCUCCGCAUUGAUCAGGGAAACAAAGGCAGAGAGAUUAUAGGCUGUAUAGUAACUGUAUUGGUUAAGAUGCUAAGCUUUGACAAUACUCUUGGACCCAUGAUAAGACUGACGAAAUAAGAGAACCAAAAUACGACCGGGAAAGCAGUACGAAAGAACUAAGGGGUGGGGAGGGGAUGCUGUGGUUCCCGUUGCACAAUGACAAAAGGAUUGACAAAUUCCUAAGUUUCAAGAGGAAUAGAUGGCAAAGACCUCAGGCUGAGAAAGAAGUUCAAAACCACUUAGGUUGUGGGGUUUCAGUUAAAGAAUAGUAAGAUACCUAAGGUAAAAAAGGUAAGUUUCGAUCUUGCUGAUCAUGAACUCGAACCAAAAGGAGAAGUCUCUGGAAGAAAGGGAGGGUUUGAAUACUGCUGAAGAGGAGGUGGAAGUUGUGAGGUUGAAAUCAAGAUGACGAAGCAAAAAAGCUCUAACUCAGGCUAUUAGCUAACUGGGAAUUGACAGCGUUUGAGUUUCACGCAUGUGGUGGAUCAGAUCGCAAGUGUUUCAGUUCAUCAGCUUCAAGUUGAUGUGGUUGUGGUUACACUUGAAGCUUUUAUGGUUAUGCUUAGAUGCUGGUGAAAAAAAUACUAUAAAUGCACACAUUUUGGCUAUUGUAGUUAAAUCGAAUAUAUAGAAAGAUUGUAGAAGUCGCAAUUAGAAAAAAUAUAUAUUUAGGAUUCAAAGAACCAAACAAAGCUACUGAGAUUUUGUUGAAAAUCGAGAUACCAUAACAUCUCUGUUUCAUUCUUACUAUGAUGUUCUAAGCACAUUUCUUUUAUGUAUUACACAGACAUUAAUGUGGUUUGGAAAUUUUUGCUUCUGCAGUUUUGUUUCAGAGUUUUGUGUUUAUGGAGAUUUAGAAACCUCUUCUUUAUAUGUUUUCUACGUGGGAACCUGUCGAUUUCCGU